rnacentral:piRNA from 1 species
UGAGUUUGUAGAGGAGUCCAGGA